UGCAGUCGAACGAUGAAGCCCGUUCGGGGUGGAUUAGUGGCGAACGGGUGAGUAACACGUGGGCAAUCUGCCCUUCACUCUGGGACAAGCCCUGGAAACGGGGUCUAAUACCGGAUACGACUGCGGGAGGCAUCUCCUGUGGUGGAAAGCUCCGGCGGUGAAGGAUGAGCCCGCGGCCUAUCAGCUUGUUGGUGGGGUAAUGGCCUACCAAGGCGACGACGGGUAGCCGGCCUGAGAGGGCGACCGGCCACACUGGGACUGAGACACGGCCCAGACUCCUACGGGAGGCAGCAGUGGGGAAUAUUGCACAAUGGGCGAAAGCCUGAUGCAGCGACGCCGCGUGAGGGAUGACGGCCUUCGGGUUGUAAACCUCUUUCAGCAGGGAAGAAGCGAGAGUGACGGUACCUGCAGAAGAAGCGCCGGCUAACUACGUGCCAGCAGCCGCGGUAAUACGUAGGGCGCAAGCGUUGUCCGGAAUUAUUGGGCGUAAAGAGCUCGUAGGCGGCUUGUCACGUCGGAUGUGAAAGCCCGAGGCUUAACCUCGGGUCUGCAUUCGAUACGGGCUGGCUAGAGUGUGGUAGGGGAGAUCGGAAUUCCUGGUGUAGCGGUGAAAUGCGCAGAUAUCAGGA
rnacentral:rRNA from 1 species